rnacentral:rRNA from 1 species
CACGGGGAGGUAGUGACGAAAAAUAACGAUACGGGACUCAUCCGAGGCCCCGUAAUCGGAAUGAGUACACUCUAAAUCCUUUUUCAAGGACCCAUUGGAGGGCAAGUCUGGUGCCAGCAGCCGCGGUAAUUCCAGCUCCAAUAGCGUAUAUUAAAGUUGUUGCGGUUAAAAAGCUCGUAGUCGAAUCUGUGUCCCGCGCCGCUGGUUCAUCGCUCGCGGUGUUCAACUGGCGUGUCUCGCGGGACGUCCUGCCGGUGGGCUUUUCGAAUUGAUUUGCUUCGGCGGUCGUUCGUGGCCCAACUCGCAUUCGCCUUGCGCGGGUGUGAAUCCCAUCGCGGUGCUCUUUAUUGAGUGUCGAGGUGGGCCGGCACGUUUACUUUGAACAAAUUAGAGUGCUUAAAGCAGGCCAAUUUUGCCUGAAUAUUGUGUGCAUGGAAUAAUGGAAUAGGACCUCGGUUCUAUUUUGUUGGUUUUCGGAACCCCGAGGUAAUGAUUAAUAGGAACGGAUGGGGGCAUUCGUAUUGCGACGUUAGAGGUGAAAUUCUUGGAUCGUCGCAAGACGGACAGAAGCGAAAGCAUUUGCCAAAAACGUUUUCAUUGAUCAAGAACGAAAGUUAGAGGCUCGAAGGCGAUCAGAUACCGCCCUAGUUCUAACCAUAAACGAUGCCAGCUAGCGAUCCGCCGACGUUCCUCCGAUGACUCGGCGGGCAGCUUCCGGGAAACCAAAGCAUUUGGGUUCCGGGGGAAGUAUGGUUGCAAAGCUGAAACUUAAAGGAAUUGACGGAAGGGCACCACCAGGUGUGGAGCCUGCGGCUUAAUUUGACUCAACACGGGUAACUUUAUCAGGCCC